AUUGAACGCUGGCGGCAGGCCUAACACAUGCAAGUCGAGCGGAUGAAGGGAGCUUGCUCCUGGAUUCAGCGGCGGACGGGUGAGUAAUGCCUAGGAAUCUGCCUGGUAGUGGGGGAUAACGUCCGGAAACGGGCGCUAAUACCGCAUACGUCCUGAGGGGGAAAGUGGGGGAUCUUCGGAACUCACGCUAUCAGAUGAGCCUAGGUCGGAUUAGCUAGUUGGUGGGGUAAAGGCCUACCAAGGCGACGAUCCGUAACUGGUCUGAGAGGAUGAUCAGUCACACUGGAACUGAGACACGGUCCAGACUCCUACGGGAGGCAGCAGUGGGGAAUAUUGGACAAUGGGCGAAAGCCUGAUCCAGCCAUGCCGCGUGUGUGAAGAAGGUCUUCGGAUUGUAAAGCACUUUAAGUUGGGAGGAAGGGCAGUAAGUUAAUACCUUGCUGUUUUGACGUUACCAACAGAAUAAGCACCGGCUAACUUCGUG
rnacentral:rRNA from 1 species